ensembl:lncRNA
CAUGAGUUUUGCUUGCUCAACACAGUGGGGCAGCCAUAGACUCUCCCUCUCCUACUGAAAAAGAGACAGUGCCGGUUGAUAUAUUAUUGAUUAUAUAUUUUUAAAACAAGCUGAGGAUUGAUUAUGAAAAACGUUUGACAUGUUUCUGUGGACAUUACGGAUACUAUUUGGAAUUUUCAUCUGUGUUGUCAUGACCGCUCGAGCCUGUGGAUUUCUGAAUAUAACGCGCCAAACAAACAGAAGUAUUUUGGAUAUAAAAUAAUCUUUACGGAACUAAAGGAACAUUUAUUGUGUAACUGGGAGUCUCGUGAGUGCAAACAUCUGAAGAUCAUCAAAGAUAAUGGGGCCGGCUAUAGGGUUAGCCCUGACAUCCAUCUGCUUCCAAUUCACUGUCGUCAAGACCGGCUCUCUUGCUCGCUAGAUAUCCCACCCAUUCCAUGUUCUAGUGUGAGCUGAUCAAGGGGUCGAAAAUGUAGAUAUUGCCAGAUGUUCACUGUCCGAGGAACCGGCCGUGGAGCUUUAUUUUUGGCACAAGUGUCCAUAACCAGAGGUUAUAUCAGCUGUGUUGGUGAACCCCUCCCGUAUCUGAACUGGUUGACACAGAGAGCACAGCAUGAUCAUAGGUAUGUUUUGAUGUGAGAGAGGAAGCCAGUCCAAUCAUCGCCACCUCACCCGCUCUUAAGAUAACCUUCAGGCCCACUGAGAAUAUUAGGCCAAACGUGAUGAACAAAACGGAGCGAUUUCUCCUACACAAAUAAUCUUUUUGGAAAAACUGAACAUUUGCUAUCUAACUGAGUGUCUCCUCAUUGAAAACAUCUGAAGUUCUUCAAAG